rnacentral:rRNA from 1 species
AUUGAACGCUGGCGGCAUGCUUUACACAUGCAAGUCGAACGGUAACAGGCCUUCGGGUGCUGACGAGUGGCGCACGGGUGAGUAAUGCAUCGGAACGUACCCAGAGGUGGGGGAUAACGCAGCGAAAGCUGUGCUAAUACCGCAUGUGAUCUGAGGUUGAAAGCGGGGGACCGAGCAGCAAUGUUUGGCCUCGCGCCUUUGGAGCGGCCGAUGUCGGAUUAGCUAGUUGGUGGGGUAAAGGCCUACCAAGGCGACGAUCCGUAGCUGGUCUGAGAGGACGACCAGCCACACUGGGACUGAGACACGGCCCAGACUCCUACGGGAGGCAGCAGUGGGGAAUUUUGGACAAUGGGCGCAAGCCUGAUCCAGCAAUGCCGCGUGCGGGAAGAAGGCCUUCGGGUUGUAAACCGCUUUUGGCAGGAACGAAACGGUGUCCGCUAAUACCGGGCGCUAAUGACGGUACCUGCAGAAUAAGCACCGGCUAACUACGUG